rnacentral:lncRNA from 1 species
GAGAUAUUUACUGUUAAAUAUUGUCUCCCCCCACCCCUUUAAAAAUGUGCCAUUGUGUUGUGAUAAGUCACUGUGUGUUGCUUAAAAUGGUUUGACUGUUUGUGAUUUUAUUGAGGUCUCACAACAAUGUUAUUGUGGUGACCCUAUUGGCUGGUCCCAAGGGAAAUAAAGGUUUUGACAGUUCUUCUUGAUCCCUCUAAAUGUAG